UACAGAGGUCUCAAGCGUUGUUCGGAUUCAUUGGGCGUAAAGGGUGCGUAGGCGGCGUGGUAAGUCGGAUGUGAAAUCCCGGGGCUCAACCCCGGAACUGCAUUCGAUACUGCCUUGCUUGAGCACUGGAGAGGAGACUGGAAUUUACGGUGUAGCAGUGAAAUGCGUAGAUAUCGGAAGGAAGACCAGUGGCGAAGGCGAGUCUCUGGACAGUUGCUGACGCUGAGGCACGAAGGCCAGGGGAGCAAACGGG
rnacentral:rRNA from 1 species